GCCGAGCCAAUUCACGUCGGCUUGUAACCCAAGUGGGGGCAUCAAAGUGGUUGGACAUUGUUCUAGCUCAGCUAGCCGAGCCGAAGGUGGCUACUUACUGGCUUGCCCGUUCCAAGUCACGUGGCUCCUAAAUUGGAGGGCAUUGCGCAAGGCUGGCUUCACAGAGCAACGAAAACCUUCAGCUCCUUACGGUGGAAGGAUAACGAGCCGGUUGCCACCUUGGCCCACUAAAGCUUGAUGGGCUAGCUCUAAUUGAACAUCCACUUUU
rnacentral:SRP_RNA from 1 species